UUCGGGCUCGCUCUUUCUUUUUUUUCUUUUUUUUUCCACUUUUUUUUCUUUAAUGGAUUAUAUAAUUGGCAAGUUUUCAUUGGUCUUUCAGAUUGCUCCAUUUAUGAAUGAACAUGAGCAGAAUGUAGGACAGAUGGCAAUCGGAUUUGAGGCUGAAAACAGAGUAAGCACCGGGUUGCAGCUUUAGCUGGUCCCCGAAUUGUUUAAAAGCUAGAUCUCCUGAUUGGAGGGAGUGGGACAAUGAUCGAACCAAGCUAAGCAAAUAUAAUCCAUUGGAUCAACGGCCAUGAUCACGGAAUUUAUCCUUGUUGCCUUUUUGGGUUAAAAACUUGCCUUUUUGAAAGUUGGGCUGGGGAGUUACGAAGCAAGUGUAGAAGCAGGGAUGUUGUAAUUCUCAUUAAGGUGAGUAGGUAAUAGUUGGACUCGAUUGACGGGCUGCAGGCCUGUGAGUAUGAGCCCAAAGCCCACUUUCGUAUUUUAUGAAUAGAGGUCCACACAUGACAUGUGAGCUACGGUCAGAACUCAGAAGUUCAAUUGUAAAUGACUAAAUUCCAACAUUUGGAUGAGUAUUAUUACUUUCUAGCCUACUCUAUGGGCUACUUCAAAUUUGAUAAUUUGUUUUUCUUUUGGCC
rnacentral:lncRNA from 1 species